CAGAACAGCCAAUUUCCAAACCUCUUUUUUAAGUUUGGCGUAAGGAAAGUUCAAUCCAUUCGAAUCUUCUGGUUUGUCAUCCUAUAUAUAAUGCUGUCAUAUCCAGGAUCCAUGUUCCAGAUAUUGUAAGAGGUGAUAAUCACAGCCAAGGCCAAGGCGAUCAUUAUCCAAAGUACCAUGUUGAAAACCACCGGAUACUCAAGGUUAUACUUAUAUGCGAGGUUAUAGGGGCUUGAUGGGUUCUUCUACGAGAAAGAAAAGAAAGCAAAUCAAGAGGGAAGAAUUUUAAGAUAGGAAAUUAUCCCCAUUUGGUAGCUCUGAUUCAUUUAUCAAACAUUUAUUCCUAGGCGGCAUUAAGACAUGCUUCUACUAGGAGGAGCCAGGAAGGGGAGCCUCCCCGGAAAAGGUGAAGCCUGUACCAUCAGCUUCCACCCAGUCAUCACCCCACUUGUGGGCGCCCUCACCCGAUCGGACAGACACCACAAAGAUACCACAAAGUACUCCUCAAAACUCUCAAGUUCAUAAAAAACAAGAAAAGUCUGAAAAACUGUCACAGCCAAGAGUAGCUUAAGGAGUUCCUAUGUGGGCAUUUCAUUCCAGAACCUCAACUGACUUUUCACCUCUCGAAGUCCGCUUGAAAUGAUUCUCCACCCUCAUUACAGAUUCCGUCUUCCCCGCCCCACACAUCUCUUCUCUGUGGCCCCCAGACAGCUAAGUGCUUGGAAGCAGGACCACAAUGGAAUUGGACUAGCAUCUCAGUUCACUAGAAGAGGAACCCCAGGAGAGAAACUGUGUUUUUUAUUAAUCUGGAUAUGUGGACCCCUAAGGAGUCAAUUUGAAUAUGUAAAUGACUUGAAGGGGAAUAGAAUCUGUCAUCCCAAAAUAUGUCUCUUUGGCAAAAGAAUUACUUUAGGCUUAUUAUUAUUAUUAUUAUUAUUAUUAUUAUUAUUAUUUUAAUAAACAGUAGACAGAAGAAAAGCUUUGACAAUCAAGUGAAAGUGACCCUUUUGUAAGAGAAAAGUGCAUGUGUAAGGGAACUCUCUAUUUGUGAGAGUGUCUUGCUCUCUGUACCAGGAUGACUUAGUCUCUAGAAACUGAUCAGUGGAGAAGGCAAUAAC